rnacentral:rRNA from 1 species
CAGUCGCCACGGUAAUACGUAGGGUGCGAGCGUUAAUCGGAAUUACUGGGCGUAAAGCGUGCGCAGGCGGUUCGUUAAGACAGAUGUGAAAUCCCCGGGCUUAACCUGGGAACUGCAUUUGUGACUGACGGGCUAGAGUAUGGCAGAGGGGGGUAGAAUUCCACGUGUAGCAGUGAAAUGCGUAGAGAUGUGGAGGAAUACCGAUGGCGAAGGCAGCCCCCUGGGCCAAUACUGACGCUCAUGCACGAAAGCGUGGGGAGCAAACAGGAUUAGAUACCCCCGUAGUCCCUGUCUCUUAUAC